UACGGGGGGGGCAAGCGUUGUUCGGAAUUACUGGGCGUGAAGGGCGCGUAGGCGGUUCGAUAAGUCAGCUGUGAAAACCAUGGGCUUAACUCAUGGCCUGCAGUUGAGACUGUCGGGCUGGAGUGUGGGAGAGGAGAGUGGAAUUCCUGGUGUAGCGGUGAAAUGCGUAGAUAUCAGGAGGAACACCGGUGGCGAAGGCGGCUCUCUGGACCACAACUGACGCUGAGGCGCGAAAGCUAGGGGAGCAAACAGG
rnacentral:rRNA from 1 species